ensembl:lncRNA
GGGGCGUCUUUCUAAAGAUGUCUUUCCACUCGUGGGUUUCUGGAUGUGGUCGCUUCCUGGCUUCAUCUGAUGGUCACGAUCGCUGCAUCUUGUGCCUGGGCCUCGAGCACGCUGAGGCAGCGUUCGUGAAUGAGUCAUGUUCUCCUUGUGGGAACAUGACCAUCGCGAUGUUGCGAUCAAGGCUCCUCUUCGUCAAACAGGGAGGAGUCCCCCUCCCCAUGACCCGUUCUAGUUCCUCCUUCAAGAGGAAGGCUUCUCCGGUUCAUGGCCAUGGUGAUCUGAGGGUCACAGUGAGGGCUUCCCAGCCGAGCGAGUCUCCAUGGGCCCUUCACUCCUCCAGCGCAUUGUACCCUCUGGUGUACCGCGAUGCAGAUGCUGAGGCCUCGGUCAGGGCGGGCCCCAGCACUUCAUCCGGCCCACCAGCAGAUGACUUGAUGUCGAUCACUGCAUCGGGGGACGAGCUAGGCUCUGGAGAUGAAGAUUCGGCUGCGUUGCCUCCUUCUUGGAGAGCGGCGUUGCCCGAGUCAGAUCCAGAGCUGACUGCUAUGCUUGCCCGGGCCGCCAAGAGCGUCAGGCUGCCAUGGAAGGCCCCUCCAUCUCCCGAAUGCUCAAAGCUGGACGAUUGGUUCUUGGGGGUGCCACACGCCGAUCGUCGGCAGCCACCUCUGGUUCCAUUCUUCCCGGAAGUGCAUGAGGAGGUUACUAGGUCCUGGAGGGCACCUUUUUCUGCCCGAAACAGGUCUAGUGCCUUCUCCAUCCUCACUACCCUCGACGGCGGGGUGGCUAAGGGGUAUGUGGAGAUCCCCCCAGUUGAGCGCGCUAUUGCAAUGCAGCUUUGCCCGCAAAGUGCUGCCGCCUGGUGGGGUAAUCCUGCAGGUCUACCAGGCCAAGGCAUUAAAGCAGCUGCACGAGGGUAGUUCUGACCCAGGUGUCAUGCAGGAGCUACGCUCUGCGAUGGACCUUGCCCUAUGGGCGACGUAAGUCACAGCGUGGUCCCUGGAUCAGACGAUGUCUGCGAUAGUGGUCCAGGAACGCCACCUUUGGCUUACCCUGGCAGAUAUGAGGGAGUCCGACAAGCACCGCUUCUUGGACUCUCCGAUCUCCC